rnacentral:rRNA from 1 species
AUCAGGUAGGGAUACCCGCUGAACUUAAGCAUAUCAAUAAGCGGAGGAAAAGAAACCAACAGGGAUUGCCUCAGUAACGGCGAGUGAAGCGGCAAGAGCUCAAAUUUGAAAGCUGGCUCCUUCGGGGUCCGCAUUGUAAUUUGCAGAGGAUGCUUCGGGAGCGGCCCCCAUCUAAGUGCCCUGGAACGGGCCGUCAUAGAGGGUGAAAAUCCCGUCUGGGAUGGGGUGUCCGCGCCCGUGUGAAGCUCCUUCGACGAGUCGAGUUGUUUGGGAAUGCAGCUCUAAAUGGGUGGUAAAUUUCAUCUAAAGCUAAAUAUUGGCCGGAGACCGAUAGCGCACAAGUAGAGUGAUCGAAAGAUGAAAAGCACUUUGAAAAGAGAGUUAAACAGCACGUGAAAUUGUUGAAAGGGAAGCGCUUGCGACCAGACUCGCCCACGGGGUUCAGCCGGCAUUCGUGCCGGUGUACUUCCCCGCGGGCGGGCCAGCGUCGGUUUGGGCGGCCGGUCAAAGGCCCUCGGAAUGUAACGCCCCCCGGGGCGUCUUAUAGCCGAGGGUGCCAUGCGGCCAGCCCAGACCGAGGAACGCGCUUCGGCUCGGACGCUGGCAUAAUGGUCGUAAGCGACC